rnacentral:rRNA from 1 species
UACGAAGGGUGCUAGCGUUGUUCGGAAUCACUGGGCGUAAAGCGCGCGCAGGCGGCUUGCCAAGUCAGAGGUGAAAUCCCGGGGCUUAACCCCGGAAUUGCCUUUGAAACUGGCAGGCUAGAGUACUGGAGGGGAGUGGGGAAUUCCUAAUGUAGCGGUGAAAUGCGUAGAUAUUAGGAGGAACACCGGUGGCGAAGGCGCCACUCUGGACAGUAACUGACGCUGAGGCGCGAAAGCGUGGGGAUCAAACAGG